GACGAACGCUGGCGGCGUGCUUAACACAUGCAAGUCGAACGGAAAGUCCCUGCUUGUGUGGGGUGCUCGAGUGGCGAACGGGUGAGUAACACGUGAGUAACCUGCCCGUUACUUUGGGAUAACUUCAGGAAACUGGGGCUAAUACCGGAUAGGAGCUCCUGCUGCAUGGUGGGGGUUGGAAAGUUUCGGCGGUUGGGGAUGGACGCGCGGCUUAUCAGCUUGUUGGUGGGGUAGUGGCUUACCAAGGCUUUGACGGGUAGCCGGCCUGAGAGGGUGACCGGCCACAUUGGGACUGAGAUACGGCCCAGACUCAUACGGGAGGCAGGAGUGGGGAAUAUUCCACGAUGGGCGGAAGCCUGAUGCAGCAUCGCCGCGUGCUGGAUGACGGUCGUCGGGUUGUAAACCGCUUUAGCCUGUGACGAAGCGUGAGUGACGGUAAUGGGUAAAGAAGCACCGGCUAACUACGUG
rnacentral:rRNA from 1 species